GGGGUUCUAGCUCAUCGGUAGAGCGCUCCCUUAGCAUAGUACCCUACAACCUCGCCUGGGAGAGGUGCAGCGUUCGACUCGCUGGUACUCCA